rnacentral:rRNA from 1 species
GACGAACGCUGGCGGCGUGCUUAACACAUGCAAGUCGAACGGAAAGGCCCUGCUUUUGUGGGGUGCUCGAGUGGCGAACGGGUGAGUAACACGUGAGUAACCUGCCCUUGACUUUGGGAUAACUUCAGGAAACUGGGGCUAAUACCGGAUAGGAGCUCCUGCUGCAUGGUGGGGGUUGGAAAGUUUCGGCGGUUGGGGAUGGACUCGCGGCUUAUCAGCUUGUUGGUGGGGUAGUGGCUUACCAAGGCUUUGACGGGUAGCCGGCCUGAGAGGGUGACCGGCCACAUUGGGACUGAGAUACGGCCCAGAAUCCUACGGGAGGCAGCAGUGGGGAAUAUUGCAAAAUGGGCGGAAGCCUGAUGCAGCAAAGCCGCGUGCGGGAUGACGGCCUUCGGGUUGUAAACCGCUUUCGCCUGUGACGAAGCGUGAGUGACGGUAAUGGGUAAAGAAGCACCGGCUAACUACGUG